GAGUUUGAUCCUGGCUCAGGACGAACGCUGGCGGCGUGCUUAACACAUGCAAGUCGAAUGAUGAAGUUAUGACGGAGGCUUCGGCCGACUGAAUGAUGGAUUAGUGGCGGACGGGUGAGUAACGCGUGAGUAACCUGCCUUUCAGAGAGGAAUAACAUUUGGAAACGAAUGGUAAUACCACAUAACAUUACGUUCUCGCAUGGGGAUGUAAUCAAAGAUUUAUCGCUGAGAGAUGGACUCGCGUCCGAUUAGCUAGAUGGUGAGGUAACGGCCCACCAUGGCGACGAUCGGUAGCCGGACUGAGAGGUUGAACGGCCACAUUGGGACUGAGACACGGCCCAGACUCCUACGGGAGGCAGCAGUGGGGAAUAUUGCACAAUGGGGGAAACCCUGAUGCAGCAACGCCGCGUGAAGGAAGACGGUCUUCGGAUUGUAAACUUUUGUUCUUGGUGAAGAAUAAUGACGGUAGCCAAGGAGGAAGCCACGGCUAACUACGUGCCAGCCGCCGCGGUAAUUC
rnacentral:rRNA from 1 species